GACGAACCUGACGAACGUUAUUCGGAAUCACUGGGCUUAAAGGGUGCGUAGGCUGUGCAGAAAGUUGGGUGUGAAAUCCCUCGGCUUAACCGAGGAACUGCGCCCAAAACUACUGUGCUUGAGUGAGAUAGAGGUGAGCGGAACUUAGGGUGGAGCGGUGAAAUGCGCAGAUAUCAGGAGGAACACCGGUGGCGAAGGCGGUUCUCUGGACCGGUACUGACGCUGAUGCGCGAAAGCGUGGGUAGCAAACAGG
rnacentral:rRNA from 1 species